rnacentral:snoRNA from 1 species
AACGCAAACUCACAGCCGGGCUGCAGCCAUAAUUAACAGCGUCCUCGAUGAGGUUGGACACCCCCCGGGGAGUCCUCGACCCAUGACCACGAGGGCCAUUUUGGCUGCACCGCGUAUGUGGCAUAUGGGACCCAACGUUCCCUUCGGGGAGUGUUGCUGGUUCCCAUCUGCUGCUGCGCGGUCUUCCCGUCCCGGACUGGAGAUUGAGUGUUGGUGCUGUGAAAGGCGCUGGCCCGUUACUGAUCUUGGGUGCAAUGGUCCCUCCAGCUGGUAUUUCCGGCGAAAGGGUUCUUAAGCCUUCGUGCUUCCCGCAUGGGGACGAUUGCAAGGAUCGCUAACACAUUU